AUAAGAAGAGCUGUGACUGUGUGUGUGAAGAUAUUGAGUCAGAUGGUCUUGACAGGACAGAUAUUGAUGAACGUCUGACAAGGAUCAGUCAGGUCUUCUUCAGCAGAGACAUGGGUGAAGAUGGAGCCCAUUGAGCUCAUCAUAAUCAGCCACUGCUGAACAACAGGGAGCACCUAAGGGAGGUCCACUGAAGACCCAGUCCAGGUAAUGGAAGAAAAGGAGGAGAUGGUGAGAACACUAGACUUCACUGAGGGAGAGGGGAUAAUCAGAACUGAUAUCCAGACCACCAGGAUAUUUGAGGACACGAGGAAACUGCAGGCCCAGAGAGAGCAUGAGCAGGCUGUGGUGUUUGCAAAGCUGAGAGGGAAAGAUAGACAGAUCGCAGCUCUCACGGAAGAACGAGAGAAGCUCUUGUUUCUUUUUUGGGUGGAGAGGGAACAGCACAGCAGUGAGAGGAGAGCGGUGGAAAGGGAAAGAGCGAGAGCAAAGACAGAGUGGAAGAGGAGGCUGGACGACCGAGAGAGACAUAUCCAGUCUACAGUCUUGGCUGUGGCAGUGAUGAAACUGACACUGGAGAAGAAACUGAACCAGAUUGAGGAAGAGAAAUGGUCGCCUGGUUCUGCAGAUCAGCGUACAAACAGCAGAGAAGAUCACAAGGUUCUUCACAGAAAUGACACAUGGCAGGUAAAGCAAAGACAUCGGAUGCGGAGGCAGGUGGCGAGAGGUUGCAAGGGAGGAUGGCAUUACACAUGCGACGUGAUGGCGGAGUCUACUUGGACCAUAAAACAAGAUUUGAUAAAAGCUCAUGAGCAGGAAGCACUAAGGGUACAGUUGCUAGAGAAACAGAGACAGAGGGAGAGGAGGACAAGAGAGGCAGAGCCAGUGGGGAAAGGAGAGGAUGUCAGGAACAGAGAGAAGAGAGUCUGGAACCCGGGAUGGUUUCGUUGGUUUGGCAUCAGAAGACAAAACACGUCACACGACAAAGAUUCCAGGGCGAGUGAGAUGGUCUGAUAAACUAAUGUGCAAUUUAGGAACGAAAACAAAACAUGCAAACUAUAAAAUCACAAAUAAAAUCAGUUUCAACUUCA
ensembl:lncRNA